GUGGGGAAUCUUCCGCAAUGGACGAAAGUCUGACGGAGCAACGCCGCGUGAGGGAAGAAGGUUUUCGGAUUGUAAACCUCUGUCCUUGGUGACGAAGGAAGUGACGGUAGCCAAGGAGGAAGCCCCGGCUAACUACGUGCCAGCAGCCGCGGUAAUACGUAGGGGGCAAGCGUUGUCCGGAAUGACUGGGCGUAAAGGGCGUGUAGGCGGCCGAUUAAGUCUGGAGUGAAAGUCCUGCUUUAAAGGUGGGAAUUGCUUUGGAGACUGGUUGGCUUGAGUGCGGAAGAGGUAAGUGGAAUUCCCAGUGUAGCGGUGAAAUGCGUAGAGAUUGGGAGGAACACCAGUGGCGAAGGCGACUUACUGGGCCGUAACUGACGCUGAGGCGCGAAAGCGUGGGGAGCGAACAGGAUUAGAUACCCCUGUAGUCC
rnacentral:rRNA from 1 species